rfam:Salmo salar isolate Sally breed double haploid chromosome ssa12, whole genome shotgun sequence.
UGCAUUCACUACUGUAAGUCACUCUGGAUAAGAGUGUCUGCUGAAACGACUAAAA